GAUGAACGCUGGCGGCGUGCCUAAUACAUGCAAGUCGAGCGAACAGACGAGGAGCUUGCUCCUCUGACGUUAGCGGCGGACGGGUGAGUAACACGUGGAUAACCUACCUAUAAGACUGGGAUAACUUCGGGAAACCGGAGCUAAUACCGGAUAAUAUAUUGAACCGCAUGGUUCAAUAGUGAAAGACGGUUUUGCUGUCACUUAUAGAUGGAUCCGCGCCGCAUUAGCUAGUUGGUAAGGUAACGGCUUACCAAGGCAACGAUGCGUAGCCGACCUGAGAGGGUGAUCGGCCACACUGGAACUGAGACACGGUCCAGACUCCUACGGGAGGCAGCAGUAGGGAAUCUUCCGCAAUGGGCGAAAGCCUGACGGAGCAACGCCGCGUGAGUGAUGAAGGUCUUCGGAUCGUAAAACUCUGUUAUUGGGGAAGAACAAAUGUGUAAGUAACUAUGCACGUCUUGACGGUACCUAAUCAGAAAGCCACGGCUAACUACG
rnacentral:rRNA from 1 species